CCGUCGCUCUGACCACGUGGAGAAGAAAACACCUCGCAAGAAUGGAGCUGACCCAGCGUCUGUUCCCUCAGUGAGUGUGUCAGGGUCAGGGACCGAGCACAGUGACAGCAACGGUCAUGGAGCCCCCAACCUUGACCCCAGCUCUAACCCCAGCACAGCACUGCUGCCCCCUGCUGACGAG